GGAAUGUUCAGUACGCCUUGUGAAAAGUUGCUGCAAGUUAUUGCACAGGAAACAAGGGGAAUACGGAGGAGUUCUAAAAGUGAAAAGAAGGCAAACACAGAGGAACUGAUGAGGGAGGAAGACGGAGUAAAAACAUCACCUCACUACAACCACUCCAUCGCGCUGACACUGAUCCUCGCUGCACAUCAAAACCUGCCGGGCUCCACCGGCUGGGAAAGUAAGCGUCACGUCAGCGUAGCGUCGCAGCGUAUUCAUUUGGGCUCCACUGAUGGCGUACGGAAGCGACACGUAGAGAAGCCAGCGGGGUUGUUUACCGUUUGCUG